rnacentral:siRNA from 1 species
GACUUCAUGGCCCAAUGG